GAUGAACGCUGGCGGCGUGCCUAAUACAUGCAAGUCGAGCGAACAGGCGAGGAGCUUGCUCCUCUGACGUUAGCGGCGGACGGGUGAGUAACACGUGGAUAACCUACCUAUAAGACUGGGAUAACUUCGGGAAACCGGAGCUAAUACCGGAUAAUAUAUUGAACCGCAUGGUUCAAUAGUGAAAGACGGUUUUGCUGUCACUUAUAGAUGGAUCCGCGCCGCAUUAGCUAGUUGGUAAGGUAACGGCUUACCAAGGCAACGAUGCGUAGCCGACCUGAGAGGGUGAUCGGCCACACUGGAACUGAGACACGGUCCAGACUCCUACGGAAGGCAGCAGUAGGGAAUCUUCCGCAAUGGGCGAAAGCCGGACGGAGCAACGCCGCGUGAGUGAUGAAGGUCUUCGGAUCGUAAAACUCUGUUAUUAGGGAAGAACAAAUGUGUAAGUAACUAUGCACGUCUUGACGGUACCUAAUCAGAAAGCCACGGCUAACUACGUG
rnacentral:rRNA from 1 species